GACGAACGCUGGCGGCGUGCCUAAUACAUGCAAGUCGAACGCUUCUUUCCUCCCGAGUGCUUGCACUCAAUUGGAAAGAGGAGUGGCGGACGGGUGAGUAACACGUGGGUAACCUACCCAUCAGAGGGGGAUAACACUUGGAAACAGGUGCUAAUACCGCAUAACAGUUUAUGCCGCAUGGCAUAAGAGUGAAAGGCGCUUUCGGGUGUCGCUGAUGGAUGGACCCGCGGUGCAUUAGCUAGUUGGUGAGGUAACGGCUCACCAAGGCCACGAUGCAUAGCCGACCUGAGAGGGUGAUCGGCCACACUGGGACUGAGACACGGCCCAGACUCCUACGGGAGGCAGCAGUAGGGAGUCUUCGGCAAUGGACGAAAGUCUGACCGAGCAACGCCGCGUGAGUGAAGAAGGUGUUCGGAUCGUAAAACUCUGUUGUUAGAGAAGAACAAGGACGUUAGUAACUGAACGUCCCCUGACGGUAUCUAACCAGAAAGCCACGGCUAACUACGUG
rnacentral:rRNA from 1 species